GGUUAAGCGACUAAGCGUACACGGUGGAUGCCCUGGCAGUCAGAGGCGAUGAAGGGCGUGCUAAUCUGCGAUAAGCGCCGGUAAGGUGAUAUGAACCGUUAUAACCGGCGAUACCCGAAUGGGGAAACCCAGUGUGAUUCGUCACACUAUCAUUAACUGAAUCCAUAGGUUAAUGAGGCGAACCGGGGGAACUGAAACAUCUAAGUACCCCGAGGAAAAGAAAUCAACCGAGAUUCCCCCAGUAGCGGCGAGCGAACGGGGAGGAGCCCAGAGCCUGAAUCAGCAUGUGUGUUAGUGGAAGCGUCUGGAAAGGCGCGCGAUACAGGGUGACAGCCCCGUACAC
rnacentral:rRNA from 1 species